UACGUAGGGUGCAAGCGUUGUCCGGAAUUAUUGGGCGUAAAGAGCUCGUAGGCGGUUUGUUGCGUCGGCUGUGAAAUCCCGAGGCUCAACCUCGGGUCUGCAGUCGAUACGAGCAAACUAGAGUGUUGCAGGGGAGACUGGAAUUCCUGGUGUAGCGGUGAAAUGCGCAGAUAUCUGGAAGAACACCAGUGGCGAAGGCGGU
rnacentral:rRNA from 1 species